CUUUAGGCAGGCCCUGCCAGCUUUACCUUUCUGUGAUUGUUGUUUUUGUAAUUUUUCUGUCGUUGACUGGCAUCUCCACCCCCUUCUACUGGGCAUGUUCUUCAUUCAGAUAUGUUGUUAAAAUCUGCGGUCUUUUUCUGGCCGAGGAGUCUAAUUACGUUCUUCGGGUCCCUAUGCUUAUUUUUGCUAUGACCCCUGAAUGUGAUACCUUACUAGGUCACCAGAAAGUGUGGUUGAGUGUAUAUUUACUAGGAUAGAUCUUGGAAGACACAUUCAGUGGGGUGGCUGCUCUUUGUCUCUUGUUUAAAUAAUUUGGAGGGAUCUUUACUUUUUUAUAUUUGGUCCAUUUUCCAACAAGGCAGUAAUCAAAGCAGAAAGGGGAGGAGUACCAGCAUUUAUUGGCCAUCUAUCAAGUGCUAUAUAGACCCUUUCUAUGCCUCUUCAUUUGGACUUCUAAUCACUCUAAUCUCUUUAGUGUGGUUUCCAUUUUUCAACUGAGGACAGACUCAGAAAAGUUGGUAAAGCGAAUCAGAAUGUGAGCCUGUGCGGGGCCCGUAUGCUCUUGCUGUCGCCUGUAGCGCCGUCUUUAAAAAACAAAGUCAAGUAAGUGGCUCUGGUUAAUCAGUUGAAGAGAUAGAUGACCGUGUCUGAUGUUUGGUGCAUGCCAGUUCUGGGGCAACAGACCAGUUCCCCCGCCUUCCAUCAACCACAGACAGGACUUUUGUACCCUAAAAAUGAAUGAGAAUUAAGUUGAGUAGCACUGGUCCACAUGUUAUUUUUUGAGACUUCCAUUGCUCUCUUAGCGAACCAAAAGUUCCUGACCUUUUCAAAAUACAAGUUUACAAAGAGAAGAUCCUCGGCUGACUAUCUGGCAAAGAGUAGGGGAUGUAACUUGUUUAAAUGAUCAUAAAAUUCUUGCUUACAUUUUUUUUUUGACACCCUUUAGAAGAAAAAUAUUGAAACUGUGGAACAAAUGUCUUAUAACCUCUCCUGUCUGGCUUUUACACACUAUAGAAUUACCUUUGUUACUUGUCAUUUUUCCCAGCUCUUCAAUUUAUAUUUUGCUUAAUUUUGUCAGUUAACU
rnacentral:lncRNA from 1 species